UUAGAGGGCAUUAGAAGGCCUGGUCCAGACAGAGACCACACGUAUCAGCUGGAUAACCUCAGAGAUAAUACGAAACCUGAUUCUGCCUGUCACGUGUACCAGGUGACAACCUCUGAGUAGGACUUCACUUUGCCAAAUUUCCCACAGGCUCAGCAUCCACCACCAUCACCUCACAGAGAGUGCCUGGGCCACACAUACAGCUUUACCUACUGCUGGAAAUCAGAAAAGCCUGAAGGACCAUGAGCAGAGAGCUCUAGACCUUCCAAAGUCGCUUGCUAGAUUUCUAAAAUGAAACUAUUCUUAAAAUACUCAAAUGUCUCUCAUCAAAGUCCAUGUGUGCUGACCUGCUGGGUUUCAGCAGCAUGUGGGCCUGGAGGUACCACCACCAUCAGGGCCAGCCAUUUGACAUGAGACCCAAAUGCCUGGUGUACAGGGCAUGUGCUCCUAUUUGGACUCUAAUAUCUCUCCGUGAGUCACCACCUCUCUUUCCCAGAGCUCAGGCCUCAGCUUCCUGCUCCAGGUUGAGCCCUCACCCUCAGAUUAGCUGCGUAGUGUGUCUGUUCUGAGUCAGGCAGUUCUUCCUUCCCACCCACUGCCCACCAAGUCCCAGGGCUUGCUGUUUCAGCACACAUUACUAGUGUGGGGAGGCAGGUCCACGGGUGAUAUCAUCUGUUUGUAAACAGCUUCCACAAAUCACCUCCCACUGGAAAUCACAGAAUCUCAGACAUGGAAGGAAGGGCCACUCCCAGGCAGAGCAGGACUGCCCUCCAGAGCCUCCCUGGCAAGGGGUCAUUUGGCCGCAAGGUCAAACAUCCUGGAUGAAUCAGUAGAGCAUUUCCGACCUCACCUUUGAGCAGACACCCUCAGCCGCCAGCUGCUGGGUGGAUGCCAUGACAGAGCUCCCCACUCAUUGGGUCACCAAGGGAGCAGCAGCCAAGAAGCCGAGCUGCAAUUUUCUGAGAGCCUGGGUGUGUCCAGAGACCCGAGUGUCUCUUCCCUGUGUGGUGGUGAUUUCUAAGACAGUAGAGCAUGACUCUUUGAGUGUGAGGGCAUGACUUUGGAGUCACACAGGUUCCAGUUUCAAUCUCAUCUCCCUCACUCAAGGGGACAUUCACUAGCUCUGUGAUUUCAGCCAAACCACUGGAACUGUCUAAACCCAUGUGCUCACGUAUAAAAAGUGGGGAAGUGAAUGUCUAUAUUUUUAGAUUACUGUGAGGAUUAAGUGAGAUAAUAUAGGUAAAGUGCCUUGACUUGUGCCUGAAAUAUAGUGCCAAAUAAAUGGUAACUAGUGUUACUAUUAUUAUUACCAUGAUUAUCUCUUCCUUCUGAACCCAGCAGACACCAUGCAGAGGAUAUUGUUCUCCUGUUUCCUCGUGCCUGAAAUGAGUGGAUAAAAUCUGUGCCCACAGGGAUAGGUUUCUGACCUAUGCAAGAUGACCCAUCCAUUGCCACUGCCACAGCCACCAUCUCUAAAGAAUGAGAUCCCCAUGUUUCCGAGCACACAUGCUGCACCACAGAGACUCCCAGAAACCCAUGGCUGUUGGUCCUGCUUCAGCUGCACAAAUGAGACCUGGAGAGGGCAGCUCCCAGUUUCCUGGAAGGCUCAUCUUAGGAAAAAUUUCCUCCCCAGCAAGCAAAGCAGUAGGUCAAUGAACUUCCAUGCCAAAAAUAAAAAAUAAAAUAAGACAUAAAACUAAAAAAAAAAAAAAAGAAGACAGCUGGCUUGAUUCCAAAGCCCCAAAGAGUUGCCAAAACAAACUUUUACCACACAGCUGCCUGGACCUGGUGGUCGGGAGGAGCACCUCAGUGGUAAGGCUUGGGAAGCCCAGGUGAGAACUCAGCAGAGCAAUGAAGCCCUUGAAUCAGAUGUCCUGUCUUCUUUAUCAUGCGCCAGCUGGGUGACUUUGAACAAAUUACUUAACCUCAGUUUCUCUUCUGUAAAAUGGGUAUAAUUGCACUCUCCU
rnacentral:lncRNA from 1 species